AAGAACUUGGAAAGAUGUCUGUGUUCUGCGCUGUGAAAGCUGAGCCCAAAGACCAUUCAAAGGAAAAUAAUUGCAGAAAACAAAUAAAGAAAAGGAGCCUGAAAGAAUACAUAGAGAUUUUGAAACAAGAAGUGUGAAAUAAAUCCUUUUCCUGCUCAGGCCCCCAGCUGUGCAACAUGAUAUUAUUCCAGCUGACCUAACCUUGAGACGUAAAAUACAUGAUGUCAGCACAACUGUGUUUGCAACUGUCACCUGUUUCAAAGAAUUUUGUAAGAAUUAACUCUGGGGGUUUGCCUUAAGUACUUUUUCUAAUACUGUUAGCUUGCUUUCUAAAUGUAGUUGUAUAUCUUAUAAAAGUCUAACUCCUACCUGCAACUUCAUCAUUAGGGCCUAAUUAAUGGUUUAGUUUUAUAUUAACAUUAUUUUUAAAAUGUGUAAAGUAUUUUAUAACAGUGAUUUCACGGAGCAUUGAUAAUGCAAACUGCUCAUAGUCUUUACAGGCUGAACACUCUUUUUAAAAAUAAUUCACUCUGUCAUUUUCCAAAAGCUCCUUAGUUUGAUUAUAUUUUCAAUGUGCCCAUUUUGUGUGGUUCAGUCACCUGUGUAAAUAACAGCUUUCUCAGAACUGAAAUGAGCAAAUAAUUACUAACAAUUUUGUAUAAGCAUUAUUUUAUUCAAAAUAGAUUU